rnacentral:sRNA from 1 species
UGCUAAACAAACUUUAAUCAUAAUAACUAGCAUUGCUUCAAUUCUAGCUUAAACGUUUAUCCACUAGCUAGCUAGCACCACCAUCCCUUUCUUGAGAAAAAAUUAUUCAAUGUAUAAGUUAAUUAUCUAAAUAUUUAGUAUAUAUGAAAUUAAUAUGUAAAUACUCUUUACCUGAGGAUUAGGCAGAUUUGGAAUGUUUACAAAUGCUAGAUUUGGGAUGUUUGCAAAAGCUGCUUGAAAAUUUGCAGCCCAUGCACUUGGCUGAAUAUUUUGUUUGAACAUUAGUAUUUGUCUCUCUAUAUAUAAAAUUAUAAUAAUGUAAUUGAACUUACAAAUUACUAUAUAACAUUAGUUUGUCGAAGCUUCCCAGCAUUGUUACUAGAAGUUGCGUGACAUUUCAUAUGGGUAGCAGUUUUUGAUGACAUGAAUAAAUGUUGAAGUCGGGACUUUAGAGGAAAAUAACGCAAAACCUUUGCAAGAGCUCUACUCUUUAUUUUCUCUGAUCCAGUUUCAGUUCUUGUACUCUUUACUGAAGUUGUUUCUUUCCAGCGGGAAGCUUUACAAACUUUGCAUAUUUCUCUUCCCGCAUCAGCCUCCCAAAAUAACAUGCAAUCAUUUGGACAUGCAUGAAUUGACUCAGAAGUCAAUCCUAAUUUGCGAACAACUUUUUCAUGUCAUUAAAUGAACCUGGCAAUCUCGCAUGUGUAAAAGCUUCUUUCAGUAAAUCAAGUACCAUAGAUAUUCCCUUGUCGCUAAUUCCACACAUACAUUCAGUGGCGGAUCUAGAAACCAAAUUUAUAUGGGGCACAUAUUAUAUUUAAAAAU